CUUAAAUCCCCUCAUCUGUCGGUUUCAACCCUUCAAUAUUGGUCACUAUGGCUCCCUACUACUGCUAGAGUUAUGCAGUCCCUACUUUUCCUUAUGUAUAACUCAAAAAAUAAGCUUGAUUUUUAAUAAAGAAACAAAAUGGAACUUUUGGCAAUUUUUUCAAGAUGGAGCUUUUGUCAAUCUUGUCAUGGGCUGUACUGACCUCCUUCCAGUUUGGCAUCACCACUCUGUAUUGACUCUUGUGAGAUUAGAGACUUCCGUUGGGUCAUUUCAUGUGCAUUCCCAAUUACUGGUAGAACAUGGAAUUCCCAGCAUGUCUUAGGAACAUGAAGGAAGAUGGUGGCUCAAAUAAAACAUUGGGAUAGGUUGAGUUGCAGCUGCCAGGCCUGAAUGGCGGACACGGAACAGAUGACAGAACCGAAAUUUAAUAUUCUAAAAAGUGGAUUUUCUGAUACAGAAUAUUUGAAGAAAUUGUUAGCAGCACAGACCUACAGCAGAGCAACAGUAAAUAUUUAUAUGUAACAAAUGAUGUGGCUUAGUUAUACCUAGCUUGUGUUAUAAAUAUGAACUUCACAGUAAGUAACAUCUAAGCGGUAUCCAGUUCAAAUCUUUCAUUUUAAACCAAAGCAUUUUUUUUGUUCACUGUGCAUCUUACUCCUUUGAUUUCCAAAAUGUUAAAAACAUUUUGUCAUGGAAUAGAUCAUAGUCAACGCUUCUAAAUUAGGCCUUGAGUUAAGUAACAAAAAUAAUUAAACGCAUGCUUUCACUUAAACAUAUUGGGAAAUUAAUGUCAUUACUUUGUUUUACCAAAAAU